UGUUCUCCAGUUCAGACACACAACAUACAGUGUGUCAUCAGCCUCUAUAUGAAAUAUUAACGUCCUUCUUUAAACCCGUUCGUUAUGCUUCCUUACAGUGUCUCAAUCCUCCAGUAGGUUACGGAUUCCAGAUGAAAUGAAAACAGACACAAACAGGUGCAAGUAUUUUUCGGCAACCCAGCGCGAACCUUGGAAAAGUAGAGAUUUGCAUCUUUGCAAUGUUUUUUUGUUUGUAACAUUGAGCCAACGCCAGACUUUAGUGUCACCGUGUAAACAGGUGAGAGUGUGCUUCCAGUCUGUUGGCUGUCAUCCCCGGUUUCCAAUUUUAAAUAGAAAAAUACUGCUUUUUUUUUUUGGGGAAACAUGGGCAUCUCAAAUGGACAGCAAACAGGUGAGCUGAUAUUCCAGAAAAUGACUUAAACAGUGUGGAUGGCAGACAUAAUAGUAAAGGAUAGCAAAGCAACCACAACCAUCAGAGUCUGAAACAAGACUAAAGAGUACCAAGGUGUUGACAACAUACUGUACCUGUUCUAAGCUAUUCGGUAAUACUAUGUCACUUCUCAGGACAGUGAGUGUCACUAACAAUUACCAACAGCACCACCAUCAAGAUUCAAGUUCCCUUGUUUUGUAGGUUUGGGUUGAGCACAGUUUCAAACCAUGCCUAUCUCUACCAUUAUCACUGCCUUCCUCUACCAUUAUCACUGCCUUUCUUUCCUUCCGUCUCUCCCUAUCACUCUCCCCUUUUCUUUCUCCCUGUAUCCAUAUUCUCUCUCUAAAUCUGCUCUCUAUGCAGCUCUUACCAUUGGCCACCUAACAGAUGCAAAAGAACUCAUCUUAAAUAAAUUGUCAUUCCAGACAAAAGCUGUCUUCGUGAUUGAUGUGGCAGUUGACAAAAUGUGCAAGUAAUGCCGACCUCCCCCAGGACCCCACCCACAUCCAGUAUAUUCCUUCUACCCUAGAGAAACCUGAGCCAUAUCCCUGUCCCUACUGCUAUUUAUGUUGAACUCAACCAUGCUAUGAUUUUAGAUGUAGUUUUCAUUCACAGAUCAUUCAUGUAUGUUAAUAACUGUCUAUAUGUGCCCAUAACUUGUUGCACUUUGACCUUGAAAAUCUAAGAUAUGAAAGAAAAUCAAACAACAAGAGCUCAAAUCAGCCGUCUGAACUUGCACCUGUUGUCACAAAGGAAAGAUUUGGCCCUUCAUUCAUAAACCAAACCAUAAACAUAAUAUUUACAAAUAACAGUUUGUUCUCUUACGCUUUAAAAAAAAAUGUACAGUUUGUUUUUCAUGUGUGUUUUGUUCUUUUUCUGAGUCCUGGUUCUCUGUCCAGUCCCCUGUGAUGGACCCCAGUCUAUAACCCCGGAGUGUGAUCAUCAUCAUCCCAAAACAAGACAGGAAACAAAACAGGAAAAACAUCCCGCUAGGUUUGUUGUUUGUGUUAUAUGUGAGUAAUGUUUAUCAAAUGUUUUUCUACUCAAGUUUUAGAAUGCAUCCUCUGUGCAUCGGCGACAUGUAAGGUUCCCGCUGAAGAUUCGUCUCUCCAUUGUUGUUUUCAAUGUCAAUGUUUUCCUAACGUUGUCUCAACUUCGGUAACAGUUUUUUUUCUCAUGAAUGUCCAGAGUUUGUCGUGUCCCUGUGUUCAGUUGUGCAGUUGAAAGAUCUGAAACGUGCGUACAAGGUUUCUUCACCUUUGACCUACCUCAGUCUGAGCCCCCUUCAUACCCCCUGCCCCUCAACAACAGAGAGAAUCUCAGAGCAACAGAAGAGAUGAAAAGACUGACAUAUCCAGUAUCCAGAAACCUGUAGCACGCAGCUAAAAGUCCACUGGGGAGAGGAUAAG
rnacentral:lncRNA from 1 species